GACGAACGCUGGCGGCGUGCUUAACACAUGCAAGUCGAACGGAAAGGCCCUGCUUUUGUGGGGUGCUCGAGUGGCGAACGGGUGAGUAACACGUGAGUAACCUGCCCUUGACUUUGGGAUAACUUCAGGAAACUGGGGCUAAUACCGGAUAGGAGCUCCUGCUGCAUGGUGGGGGUUGGAAAGUUUCGGCGGUUGGGGAUGGACUCGCGGCUUAUCAGCUUGUUGGUGGGGUAGUGGCUUACCAGGGCUUUGACGGGUAGCCGGCCUGAGAGGGUGACCGGCCACAUUGGGACUGAGAUACGGCCCAGACUCUUACGGGAGGCAGCAGUGGGGAAUAUUGCACAAUGGGCGGAAGCCUGAUGCAGCAACGCCGCGUGCGGGAUGACGGCCUUCGGGUUGUAAACCGCUUUCGCCUGUGACGAAGCGUGAGUGACGGUAAUGGGUAAAGAAGCACCGGCUAACUACGUG
rnacentral:rRNA from 1 species